rnacentral:lncRNA from 1 species
UCCCGGACCUAUUUUGGAUGCGGGGGGGCUGCCACCCAGCCUGCCCCAGAUCACGUUUGCCACCAGCAGCCAACCAGCCGGGCCCGAGUCCGCGGGCAAGAAGCGAUUGGGGCGAGCGAGGGCGGCCCCGCGGCCCCCGCCCGGGUCCCCCCGCCCGGCCGAGGCCGUAUAUCCUGCCUCCGCGGCCACCUACCCUCGCGGGCGGAGCGGCGGCCUCGCUGUACCGCAGGGGCGAGAUGUAGCGAGCGGGGCGCCGCGGCUGGACGCUCGCCUUGGCCGGGGGUGCGGGGGGCGCGCCGGGGCCGAGGAGGAUUGCGGAGGAGGAGUGAUGAGAAGAGGGGGAGCCCUGCACCCCCCGAGACCACGGGUCCCUGCUGCCACUCGCCAGGCGCCCCCUUUCCUCCCGAGCGAGAGGCAGGGCAUCCUGGUUCACUUUUGCUUCUUUCAUCCCAGGGCCUUAGGCCCGUCCGAAGUCUCUUUGCUGGAAGGAGUGGGGUGAGGGACUGACCGGCCUCCCUUUCGGGUGAGGUGGCCUGCCAGGAAGACAGGAGGAGGGAGGGAGCGUCAAAUUCUAGCAGACGCUGCUGGCAUAGGGGCCGUGCACUCUCUCCUGCCCCACCCCCCCAUCUCGUUCUGGAUCUCGAGGGAGGGUCUUUGAGAGAACCGCAGGACUGUGUUUAAGGAGACUCCAAAAGGGAAAAUCUGGAUGUAUGACCUGAGCCUAUAGAAAGAGAAAACAGUUCCCAUGGGUCAGUUACUGGAGUUUGAAUCACCCUUUCCCAAACUGCAGUUGACUAAUUGUGUUUGGAAUACCUAAGUACUUGUUCAUCCUACCUAAGGAAAUUCUCUUUUUAAGAAAACGUAUUAUUUUUUUUUUCUUUUCCUUGUAAGAACUGUUUUGGUGAAAUGGGAUAGAGUGGGAUCAGGGCCUGGGGAUUCCUUAAACAAGAGAAGUGGGGCCAUUGCAGCUAGACGCUUGCAUUUGGGAGCAAGUGUGUUUUGGCUUAUGCUGCUUUGUUUUGGUUUUACUUUUUUUUUUUUUUUUUUUUUAGUUGCUGCUUUUG